rnacentral:tRNA from 1 species
UCCCUGAUGGUCCAGUGGUUAAGAUUCCAUGCUUCCAAUGCAGGGGGCCCAGGUUCGAUCCCUGGUCGGGGAA